rnacentral:rRNA from 1 species
UGGUGCUUGCAUCAUGAUUUACAUUUGAGUGAGUGGCGAACUGGUGAGUAACACGUGGGAAACCUGCCCAGAAGCGGGGGAUAACACCUGGAAACAGAUGCUAAUACCGCAUAACAACUUGGACCGCAUGGUCCGAGUUUGAAAGAUGGCUUCGGCUAUCACUUUUGGAUGGUCCCGCGGCGUAUUAGCUAGAUGGUGAGGUAACGGCUCACCAUGGCAAUGAUACGUAGCCGACCUGAGAGGGUAAUCGGCCACAUUGGGACUGAGACACGGCCCAAACUCCUACGGGAGGCAGCAGUAGGGAAUCUUCCACAAUGGACGAAAGUCUGAUGGAGCAACGCCGCGUGAGUGAAGAAGGGUUUCGGCUCGUAAAACUCUGUUGUUAAAGAAGAACAUAUCUGAGAGUAACUGUUCAGGUAUUGACGGUAUUUAACCAGAAAGCCACGGCUAACUACGUGCCAGCAGCCGCGGUAAUACGUAGGUGGCAAGCGUUGUCCGGAUUUAUUGGGCGUAAAGCGAGCGCAGGCGGUUUUUUAAGUCUGAUGUGAAAGCCUUCGGCUCAACCGAAGAAGUGCAUCGGAAACUGGGAAACUUGAGUGCAGAAGAGGACAGUGGAACUCCAUGUGUAGCGGUGAAAUGCGUAGAUAUAUGGAAGAACACCAGUGGCGAAUGCGGCUGUCUGGUCUGUAACUGACGCUGAGGCUCGAAAGUAUGGGUAGCAAGCAGGAUUAGAUACCCUGGUAGUCCAUACCGUAUACGAUGAAUGCU